rnacentral:rRNA from 1 species
GAUGAACGCUGGCGGCGUGCCUAAUACAUGCAAGUCGAGCGAACGGACGAUAAGCUUGCUUCUCUGAUGUUAGCGGCGGACGGGUGAGUAACACGUGGAUAACCUACCUAUAAGACUGGGAUAACUUCGGGAAACCGGAGCUAAUACCGGAUAAUAUUUUGAACCGCAUGGUUCAAAAGUGAAAGACGGUCUUGCUGUCACUUAUAGAUGGAUCCGCGCUGCAUUAGCUAGUUGGUAAGGUAACGGCUUACCAAGGCAACGAUGCAUAGCCGACCUGAGAGGGUGAUCGGCCACACUGGAACUGAGACACGGUCCAGACUCCUACGGGAGGCAGCAGUAGGGAAUCUUCCGCAAUGGGCGAAAGCCUGACGGAGCAACGCCGCGUGAGUGAUGAAGGUCUUCGGAUCGUAAAACUCUGUUAUUAGGGAAGAACAUAUGUGUAAGUAACUGUGCACAUCUUGACGGUACCUAAUCAGAAAGCCACGGCUAACUACGUG